AAAGUCGUAACAAGGUUUCCGUAGGUGAACCUGCGGAAGGAUCAUUACAAUACAAACCUCAGAGGCGGGGGCUCACCCCUCCGUCUUCUGUGACACCCCUUGUGAAAACCCCAAUUUCGCCUCGGCGGCACGUCUCCGGCGCUUCGGCGCCGGGGGCUGGUCAGUCCGCCGGCGGCACCCAACCAAAACCCAUAACCAUCCAUAAGAAGCUGUCUGAAAUCAAAGGUCGAAUGACUAUAAAACUUUCAACAACGGAUCUCUUGGUUCCC
rnacentral:misc_RNA from 1 species